AGGCCAACGGGAUCCCGUAGUAGCGGCGAGCGAAGCGGGAAGAGCUCAAAUUUAUAAUCUGGCACCUUCGGUGUCCGAGUUGUAAUCUCUAGAAAUGUUUUCCGCGUUGGACCGCACACAAGUCUGUUGGAAUACAGCGGCAUAGUGGUGAGACCCCCGUAUAUGGUGCGGACGCCCAGCGCUUUGUGAUACAUUUUCGAAGAGUCGAGUUGUUUGGGAAUGCAGCUCAAAUUGGGUGGUAAAUUCCAUCUAAAGCUAAAUAUUGGCGAGAGACCGAUAGCGAACAAGUACCGUGAGGGAAAGAUGAAAAGCACUUUGGAAAGAGAGUUAACAGUACGUGAAAUUGUUGGAAGGGAAACGCUUGAAGUCAGACUUGCUUGCCGAGCAAUCGGUUUGCAGGCCAGCAUCAGUUUUCCGGGAUGGAUAAUGGUAGAGAGAAGGUAGCAGUUUCGGCUGUGUUAUAGCUCUCUGCUGGAUACAUCUUGGGGGACUGAGGAACGCAGUGUGCCUUUUGGCGGGGGUUUCGACCUCUUCACACUUAGGAUGCUGGUGGAAUGGCUUUAAACGACCCGUCUUAAACACAAGGGAACAAAA
rnacentral:rRNA from 1 species